CCUACGGGGGGCUGCAGUGGGGAAUAUUGGACAAUGGGCGAAAGCCUGAUCCAGCCAUGCCGCGUGUGUGAAGAAUGCCUUCGGGUUGUAAAGCACUUUCAGUGGGGAAGAAAGCCUUGGGGCUAAUACCCUCGAGGAAGGACAUCACCCACAGAAGAAGCACCGGCUAACUCCGUGCCAGCAGCCGCGGUAAUACGGAGGUGCGAGCGUUAAUCGGAAUUACUGGGCGUAAAGCGCGCGUAGGCGGUCUGAUAAGCCGGUUGUGAAAGCCCCGGGCUCAACCUGGGAACGGCAUCCGGAACUGUCAGGCUAGAGUGCAGGAGAGGAAGGUAGAAUUCCCGGUGUAGCGGUGAAAUGCGUAGAGAUCGGGAGGAAUACCAGUGGCGAAGGCGGCCUUCUGGACUGACACUGACGCUGAGGUGCGAAAGCGUGGGUAGCAAACAGGAUUAGAUACCCUGGUAGUC
rnacentral:rRNA from 1 species